UUUAAAAAUAUGUGCAAUUUCACUGUAAUCUUUUAUAUUUAACUAUAACAUAAAUAAUUUCUUUAUUUUGAAAAACUAGCAUAAUUUUUACAUGUGGCAAGUAAUUAAGCAGAAUGUUUUUUUACUAAACUUCAAAACCAUCAUCUGUAAAAACAGAAGCCUUAUAUCUCAAUAUGCUAUGUACAGUAAAAUCUGUCUAAGCUGGAACUGUACAAGCCAGAAACCUGCUCACCAUGGAAAAUAUUUGUAUUCCCGAACAACUUCCUUAGAAAUAUCAAAGAAAAUAUCUGUAUGACACUGAAACUGUCUAUUAUGGAAACAAAGCAUUUUAAAAUUUCACUAAAUAAAAACACCUGUAUAAGAUGGAAAAUUAAUUAUAAUUUUUUCCAUCUUGUAAAGGAAAAAGUGGUUUUGAAUUUUAAACCAUUGACCAACUUGAACAAAGAAUGGAAGAAUUUUCUGAAGUAU
rnacentral:lncRNA from 1 species